rnacentral:rRNA from 1 species
AACGCUAGCUACAGGCUUAACACAUGCAAGUCGAGGGGAAACGAUAUUGGAAGCUUGCUUCCGAUAGGCGUCGACCGGCGCACGGGCGAGUAACGCGUAUCCAACCUGCCCAUCACUUGGGAAUAACCUUGCGAAGGUAAGACUAAUGCCCAAUGACAUUUAUAGAAGGCAUCUGAAAUGAAUUAAAGAUUUAUCGGUGAUGGAUGGGGAUGCGUCUGAUUAGCUUGUUGGCGAGGUAACGGCCCACCAAGGCGACGAUCAGUAGGGGUUCUGAGAGGAAGGUCCCCCACAUUGGAACUGAGACACGGUCCAAACUCCUACGGGAGGCAGCAGUGAGGAAUAUUGGUCAAUGGGCGAGAGCCUGAACCAGCCAAGUAGCGUGCAGGAUGACGGCCCUAUGGGUUGUAAACUGCUUUUAUAAGGGAAUAAAGUGAGUCUCGUGAGGCUUUUUGCAUGUACCUUAUGAAUAAGGACCGGCUAAUUCCGUGCCAGCAGCCGCGGUAAUACGGAAGGUCCGGGCGUUAUCCGGAUUUAUUGGGUUUAAAGGGAGCGUAGGCCGGAGAUUAAGCGUGUUGUGAAAUGUAGAUGCUCAACAUCUGCACUGCAGCGCGAACUGGUUUCCUUGAGUACGCACAAAGUGGGCGGAAUUCGUGGUGUAGCGGUGAAAUGCUUAGAUAUCACGAAGAACUCCGAUUG